rnacentral:rRNA from 1 species
GUGUCAGCAGCCGCGGUAAUACGUAGGGUGCGAGCGUUAAUCGGAAUUACUGGGCGUAAAGCGUGCGCAGGCGGGCUUUUAAGCCAGACGUGAAAUCCCCGGGCUUAACCUGGGAAUGGCGUUUGGGACUGGGAGUCUGGAGUGCGGCAGAGGAGACUGGAAUUCCUGGUGUAGCAGUGAAAUGCGUAGAUAUCAGGAGGAACACCGAUGGCGAAGGCAGGUCUCUGGGCUGACACUGACGCUCAUGCACGAAAGCGUGGGGAGCAAACAGGAUUAGAAACCCCCGUAGUCC